rnacentral:rRNA from 1 species
UACGAAGGGGGCUAGCGUUGUUCGGAUUUACUGGGCGUAAAGCGCACGUAGGCGGAUUGUUAAGUCGGGGGUGAAAUCCUGGAGCUCAACUCCAGAACUGCCUUCGAUACUGGCAAUCUAGAGUCCGGAAGAGGUGAGUGGAACUCCUAGUGUAGAGGUGGAAUUCGUAGAUAUUAGGAAGAACAUCAGUGGCGAAGGCGGGCCAUCUGGGACAACACUGACGCUGAAGCACGAAAGCGUGGGGAGCAAACAGGG